AGUGAACGCUGGCGGUAGGCCUAACACAUGCAAGUCGAACGGCAGCACAGGAGAGCUUGCUCUCUGGGUGGCGAGUGGCGGACGGGUGAGGAAUACAUCGGAAUCUACCUUUUCGUGGGGGAUAACGUAGGGAAACUUACGCUAAUACCGCAUACGACCUACGGGUGAAAGUGGGGGACCGCAAGGCCUCACGCGAUUAGAUGAGCCGAUGUCCGAUUAGCUAGUUGGCGGGGUAAUGGCCCACCAAGGCGACGAUCGGUAGCUGGUCUGAGAGGAUGAUCAGCCACACUGGAACUGAGACACGGUCCAGACUCCUACGGGAGGCAGCAGUGGGGAAUAUUGGACAAUGGGCGCAAGCCUGAUCCAGCCAUACCGCGUGGGUGAAGAAGGCCUUCGGGUUGUAAAGCCCUUUUGUUGGGAAAGAAAUCCUAUCGGUUAAUAACCGAUGGGGAUGACGGUACCCAAAGAAUAAGCACCGGCUAACUUCGUG
rnacentral:rRNA from 1 species